rnacentral:rRNA from 1 species
UACGUAGGCAGCGAGCGUUGUUCGGAGUUACUGGGCGUAAAGGGUGUGUAGGCGGUUAUUUAAGUUUGGGGUGAAAUCUCCCGGCUCAACUGGGAGGGUGCGCCGAAUACUGAGUGACUAGAGUGCGGGAGAGGAAAGUGGAAUUCCUGGUGUAGCGGUGAAAUGCGUAGAUAUCAGGAGGAACACCGGUGGUGUAGACGGCUUUCUGGACCGUAACUGACGCUGAGACACGAAAGCGUGGGUAGCAAACAGG